rnacentral:lncRNA from 1 species
UUAAAUCUAUUUAUGACUCUUAAUUUUGGUGAGAAAGAUGGGUGGUGUUAGAGAUUUGAUGGUGGUAGAGAUUUGUUGGUAGUGAAAAUGGGUGUUUGGGAUGUGUUGGAGAUUUGUUUUGUAGUGGAUAUAGGUGCUAGAGAUGGAUGGAUUGACAUAUUUCAAGCUUGUUCUUUGAUUUGGUUAUGGUGAUGGUGAUUUACAAUGCUGAGAAAGUAAGCUGAUAUGGAUGAAUGAGGUUUGUUGACUGACU